rnacentral:rRNA from 1 species
GAUGAACGCUGGCGGCGUGCCUAAUACAUGCCAGUCGAGCGAACGGACGAGGAGCUUGCUCCUCUGACGUUAGCGGCGGACGGGUGAGUAACACGUGGAUAACCUACCUAUAAGACUGGGAUAACUUCGGGAAACCGGAGCUAAUACCGGAUAAUAUAUUGAACCGCAUGGUUCAAUAGUGAAAGACGGUUUUGCUGUCACUUAUAGAUGGAUCCGCGCCGCAUUAGCUAGUUGGUAAGGUAACGGCUUACCAAGGCAACGAUGCGUAGCCGACCUGAGAGGGUGAUCGGCCACACUGGAACUGAGACACGGUCCAGACUCCUACGGGAGGCAGCAGUAGGGAAUCUUCCGCAAUGGGCGAAAGCCUGACGGAGCAACGCCGCGUGAGUGAUGAAGGUCUUCGGAUCGUAAAACUCUGUUAUUAGGGAAGAACAAAUGUGUAAGUAACUAUGCACAUCUUGACGGUACCUAAUCAGAAAGCCACGGCUAACUACGUG